CUGCCCUCAAAGAAUAUGGCACAUGAGGCUCUUUUGGGAGUUUUGAGCUAUUUGUUUUUAAGUAGCGCAAAAAGUAGGCCACCAAAGUGUCUCCAAACCAGU